rnacentral:rRNA from 1 species
AGAGUUUGAUCAUGGCUCAGGACGAACGCUGGCGGCGUGCCUAACACAUGCAAGUCGAGGGAGAAAACCUCCUUCGGGAGGUGAGUAAACCGGCGGACGGGUGCGUAACACGUGAGCAACCUUCCCAGCAGAGGGGGAUAACCCGGGGAAACCCGGGCUAAUACCCCAUAACCGUGGCCGGCCUGCAAAGGCGGGCCACCAAACGGGGGCGUCUUUCGCGGAGCUCUCGCUGUUGGAUGGGCUCGCGGCCUAUCAGCUUGUUGGUGGGGUAACGGCCCACCAAGGCGAUGACGGGUAGCUGGUCUCAGCGGAUGAUCAGCCACACGGGGACUGAGACACGGCCCCGACUCCUACGGGAGGCAGCAGUGGGGAAUUUUGGACAAUGGGCGAAAGCCUGAUCCAGCGACGCCGCGUGCGGGAGGAAGCCCUUCGGGGUGUAAACCGCUGUCAGGGGGGAAGAACCGGUCCGGGCGAAUAGCCCGGAAAACUGACGGUACCCCCAGAGGAAGCGCCGGCUAACUCCGUGCCAGCAGCCGCGGUAAUACGGAGGGCGCAAGCGUUGUCCGGAAUUACUGGGCGUAAAGGGGGCGCAGGUGGCUCAGUAAGUCCUGUGUGAAAGCCCGCGGCUCAACCGCGGAAAGCCAUAGGAUACUGCCGAGCUAGAGACGGGUAGAGGCGAGUGGAAUUCCCGGUGUAGCGGUGGAAUGCGUAGAUAUCGGGAAGAACACCAGUGGCGAAGGCGACUCGCUGGGCCCGUUCUGACGCUCAGGCCCGAAAGCGUGGGGAGCAAACAGGAUUAGAUCCCCUGGUAGUCCACGCCGUAAACGAUGGGCACUAGGUGCUGGGGAGUGUGACCUUUUCGGUGCCGUAGCUAACGCGUUAAGUGCCCCGCCUGGGGAGUAUGGUCGCAAGGCUGAAACUCAAAGGAAUUGACGGGGGCCCGCACAAGCGGUGGAGCAUGUGGUUUAAUUCGACGCAACGCGAAGAACCUUACCUGGGCUUGACAUGCUAAGGAAGUCGGGUGGAAACAUCCGCCUCCCUUCGGGGCGGAUUCACAGGUGCUGCAUGGCUGUCGUCAGCUCGUGUCGUGAGAUGUUGGGUUAAGUCCCGCAACGAGCGCAACCCUUACCCUUAGUUGCCAGCGGGUUAUGCCGGGAACUCUACGGGGACUGCCGGUGAUAAACCGGAGGAAGGUGAGGACGACGUCAAGUCAUCAUGGCCCUUACGCUCAGGGCGACACACGUGCUACAAUGGUCGGUACAGUGGGCUGCAAUCCCGCGAGGGUGAGCCAAUCCCAAAAAGCCGGCCUAAGUUCGGAUCGGAGUCUGCAACUCGACUCCGUGAAGCCGGAAUCGCUAGUAAUCGCGGAUCAGCCAUGCCGCGGUGAAUACGUUCCCGGGCUUUGUACACACCGCCCGUCACGCCAUGGAAGCUGGGGGGACCCGAAGUCAGUGGCCCAACCCUCGGGAGGGAGCUGCCGAAGGUCAAUCUAGUGACUGGGGCGAAGUCGUAACAAGGUAGCCGUA